UUCAGUUGUUUAGGAGCUAUUAACGCUCAAAAUCUCGGUCUCCGGCGUAACGCUUUCGUUUUCGAAACUUUGAUUUUACACCCCGGUAUAGAAAUGAAAGACGUAGUCCUACGUCAAAAUGCGAACCAUCUGAGCUAUACCUACAUAAACUGCGAUCAGUGUUACGCAAAGUUCAUCUCGCACCGCACUAACUAAAUAUCCCCAUCAUCGCUCUCGCUUUCAUUUCAUCUUGCAAAGAUUACCCACGAUUGAUUGAGUAAGAGAAGGCUAGGAAAAUCGAAGUUUGCACAUACUCUUCACAAUUGUCUUCUUUCAUACAUACGCUGUGCGUUCGAGUGCUGGACCGAUGAAAGGAAUGUAUACGGAGAUUCUAUGGAUAAUAGAUAACGGUACUCGGUGUAAACAGAAUAUUAUUAGCGUGGAAAGAUAAUAGGAUCUCUAUCAAAGGAAAUUAAUUCCGAUCGCAAAGGGUUAAUAUUGUGGCUAAACGAUCUAAAAAUAAUGUUAUAACACAUCGUAAUCAUUCUUAAAGUCUAAUUUAUUAUGUUCUUUUUGAAUUCUUAUUCAUGUUGCACUGAGAAAAAUAAACGUUUUCCUAAUAGAAAAAAAAACAAUGUGGGAUACACAAAAAACAGUGACAAAAAAGUGCCCAGAUCAGAAAAGUUGCAAAUAAGCUUAAGGUGAAGGUGGAAGGAAGCCAUUGUAUUAGUAUAGGUAAAAGCACGUGUUUUCAUGGGGUGAUAGUGUUUGUGAGAGAAGAGCAAAUCACACAGCUUGUUUUUAUUUUCGUACGUAAAUAGAUCAAUUCACUUAUCAGACUGUGUGACGCUUCACAGACACGAGUCUCAGAAUACAUUUGAAAAAAAAUAACAAUUCAAUACUAAGUAAGAUGUAUGAACGAUGUGUUCCGAUGAACAACUGUAAAUAUAAAUAUAUAUAGAAGAUGUAUUUGCAUAUGAAAUAAAAUAAUGAUCAUAC